rnacentral:rRNA from 1 species
AAUGAACGCUGGCGGCAUGCCUAACACAUGCAAGUCGAACGAGAUCUUCGGAUCUAGUGGCGCACGGGUGAGUAACGCGUGGGAACCUACCUUUUAGUACGGGACAACGUUUGGAAACGAACGCUAAUACCGUAUACGCCCUCCGGGGGAAAGGUCAGCCGCUGAAAGAGGGGCCCGCGUCUGAUUAGCUUGUUGGUAAGGUAACGGCUUACCAAGGCAACGAUCAGUAGCUGGUCUGAGAGGAUGAUCAGCCACACUGGGACUGAGACACGGCCCAGACUCCUACGGGAGGCAGCAGUGGGGAAUAUUGGACAAUGGAGGCAACUCUGAUCCAGCAAUGCCGCGUGUGUGAUGAAGGCCCUAGGGUUGUAAAGCACUUUCAACGGUGAAGAUGAUGACGGUAGCCGUAGAAGAAGCCCCGGCUAACUUCG